rnacentral:lncRNA from 1 species
GACAGGCAUGAUGAGACAGAAUGUUAAAAAGCUGCCCAUGUUCUGAUAUGGUAAGAAAAACAGGGUCCUAAUUUCUACUAGCACUAAAGUUACUAUGGUAGUUGACUCUCUAACAUAUCUUUCAGCAUUGCCCACUUUAGAGAUUACUGGUCUAGUUCGCAGAGCUGAUAAAAAGAAAUAAAAUAAAAGAAUGCUAGUAACUUAUUUCAGAAUAAACAAGAGCAUAG